GGAAGGUCACCGCUUAAUCGCUCCCACCCUCCGGGAGCGAACCGGGGAACCACUUCCUUCUAGGCGGUGCGUGCAGACGCACUGCAGAGAAUUGGGGUGAAUCGCGGUCCGAACCCACCAGGUUCGAGAACGCGUAGGGCCAUCUCUUCCGGCCCGAACCCGACAGCUAACCCGGUCAGCGGUCAGGGAGAAACA
rnacentral:sRNA from 2 species